rnacentral:rRNA from 1 species
AAUGAACGCUGGCGGCAGGCCUAACACAUGCAAGUCGAACGGAUCCUUCGGGAUUAGUGGCGGACGGGUGAGUAACGCGUGGGAACAUACCCUUUGGUACGGAAUAGCCUCGGGAAACUGGGAGUAAUACCGUAUGUGGUCGAGAGACGAAAGAUUUAUCGCCAAAGGAUUGGCCCGCGUUGGAUUAGGUAGUUGGUGGGGUAAUGGCCUACCAAGCCGACGAUCCAUAGCCGGUUUGAGAGGAUGAUCAGCCAAACUGGGACUGAGACACGGCCCAGACUCCUACGGGAGGCAGCAGUGGGGAAUCUUAGACAAUGGGGGAAACCCUGAUCUAGCCAUGCCGCGUGAUCGAUGAAGGCCUUAGGGUUGUAAAGAUCUUUCAGGUGGGAAGAUAAUGACUGUACCACCAGAAGAAGCCCCGGCUAACUCCGUGCCAGCCGCCGCGGUAA